UAUCUGGUGGUCCAAUGGUUAGGGCUCUGCACUUCCAAUGCAGGGGGCGUGGGUUUGAGCCCUUGUCAGGGAA
rnacentral:tRNA from 1 species